AACAAGACAGCUGUUAGUUCAACCCUGCUACCAGACUAAAUGGGUCUAUUUGGGCACAUUUAAGUGCAAUCAAACACAUGAGGAGUUUGCAGCCAAGAAAGUAUUAGUUGAGAAAAUGGUGCCAAGCUUGGAGUCUCAGAUACUAGAAUGAAAGAAACAAGAUGGAAGUUUAAAAGAUGGAAUGAAGAGCAGAUCUAUAUGCUCCUUUUAUAGACUAUUCAGCUAGAUAGCUAAACAUUUGAUUGUGAGAUGGACAGGGAACUAGGGAGUGGGAAAGGGAUGAAAUAAUAUUUGUUCAGUUUUUUUAAGGUUGUCAGGCAACAGGUCAGUAAGUUGUUCAGAGGGGAAAACGUCUUUAUCUUGUACUUGGGACUUUUCUAUGAGUUUGACAUUGUUUAAAAGGAAAACAAAUAAGGAAAGUAUAAUGUGAAUUUUA